rnacentral:rRNA from 2 species
UAAGGAAUAUUGGGCAAUGGAGGCAACUCUGACCCAGCCAUGCCGCGUGAAGGAUGGAGGCCCUACGGGUCGUAAACUUCUUUUGUCAGGGAAUAAAGUCACCUACGUGUAGGUGUUUGCAGGUACCUGAAGAAUAAGCAUCGGCUAACUCCGUGCCAGCAGCCGCGGUAAUACGGAGGAUGCGAGCGUUAUCCGGAUUUAUUGGGUUUAAAGGGUGCGUAGGCGGAUCGUUAAGUCAGCGGUGAAAGUUCCCGGCUCAACCGGGUCAGUGCCGUUGAUACUGGCGGUCUUGAAUACGGUCAAGGCAGGCGGAAUGUGAUGUGUAGCGGUGAAAUGCAUAGAUAUGUCACAGAACUCCGAUAGCGAAGGCAGCUUGCCGGGCCUGUAUUGACGCUGAGGCACGAAAGCGUGGGGAUCAAACAGG